GUGCCAGCCGCCGCGGUAAGACGGAGGGUGCAAGCGUUGUUCGGAAUCAUUGGGCGUAAAGGGCGCGCAGGCGGCCUCCCAUGUCCGAUGUGAAAGCCCGGGGCUCAACCCCGGAAGCGCAUUGGAAACUGGGUGGCUUGAGUCCGAGAGGGGACCGUGGAAUUUCUGGUGUAGGGGUGAAAUCCGUAGAGAUCAGAAGGAACACCGGAGGUGAAAACGACGGUCUGGAUCGGGACUGACGCUGAGGCGCGAAAGCGCGGGUAGCGAACAGGAUUAGAUACCCUUGUAGUCC
rnacentral:rRNA from 1 species